rnacentral:rRNA from 1 species
GGAGGGUGCGAGCGUUGUCCGGAAUCACUGGGCGUAAAGGGCGCGUAGGCGGCCUGAUAAGUAGGGGGUGAAAUCCUGCGGCUUAACCGCAGGGCUGCCUUCUAAACUGUCAGGCUAGAGCACGGUAGAGGCAGAUGGAAUUCCCGGUGUAGCGGUGGAAUGCGUAGAGAUCGGGAAGAACAUCAGUGGCGAAGGCGGUCUGCUGGGCCGUUGCUGACGCUGAGGCGCGACAGCGUGGGGAGCAAACAGGAUUAGAUACCCUGGUAGUCCACGCCGUAAACGAUGGGCACUAGGCGUCGGGGGGAGCGACCCUCCCGGUGCCGUCGCUAACGCAGUAAGUGCCCCGCCUGGGGAGUACGGCCGCAAGGCUG